AGCAGUAGCCGCGGUAAUACGUAGGGUGCGAGCGUUAAUCGGAAUUACUGGGCGUAAAGCGUGCGCAGGCGGUUCGUUAAGACAGAUGUGAAAUCCCCGGGCUUAACCUGGGAACUGCAUUUGUGACUGACGGGCUAGAGUAUGGCAGAGGGGGGUAGAAUUCCACGUGUAGCAGUGAAAUGCGUAGAGAUGUGGAGGAAUACCGAUGGCGAAGGCAGCCCCCUGGGCCAAUACUGACGCUCAUGCACGAAAGCGUGGGGAGCAAACAGGAUUAGAUACCCGAGUAGUCCCUGUCUCUUAUAC
rnacentral:rRNA from 1 species